UUUCGACCGCUUCAACAAACCUGGCAGAAAGAAAUAAACCAAAAUUUUGAAAAACCCUAAGUUAAGAAUGGCACCUAAUAAGAUGAAGAUCAUUGGCAUAGAAGAAAGUAACCCAAUAGAAAGAAUACCCCCAAAAUUAAAGCAAGUGAAAUUGCCACUAAGAAUUGAUAUCCAAACACUCGAGGAAACGAAAAGGAUGUUGAUAAAUGACACGGAAUCAUUGAAAAACUGGGAGCCAAAAUAGAUUUUCUUUACAUUGAUAAGUGGAGACUGAAAACUGAUGUGAAAUCUCUCCACGGCAGGGAAGAGGAACUGCUGACUGGUCUUGAUUCACUUUACAAUGAAAAGAAUGUCUUGGAGAGUCAUAUUGAAUCACUCAACAAUGAGAAGUCUACAGUCCAUGUAGAGAAGACUAAACUUGUAUGUGAUAUUGAAUCACUUGAAAUGAGAAGUGUAAAUUGGGUAGGGAAACUGCAAAGUGAUUUUGAAUCACUGAAUAAAGCGAUGUCUGCGGUUGGAACGACGCCGACUUGCUCGGCAAAAAGAAGUGUGGAAUCCGAAGUGGAAUUAAAGUUCUUAUAAAAGAAACUACUAAACAACAAAGUGGUAUUGAGAUUAUGAAUUCAAAGAAAACUGCACUUGAAAAGGAUAUUGAAUCACUUGGUAACGAAAAGAACAAAUUAGGAAGUUGAUAUUCAAUUCCUGCAUAGAGAGAAGGCUUUAAUUGCAAGUGAUGUUGAGUUACUUAAGCAAGAUAAGGGUAGAUUGCAAACAGAUGUUUAGUAUCUCAAGGAAGAGAAGGAUACAUUGUAUAAAUUUCUAGAUGAAGAGAAGGCUGAAUUUGUUGAUUCUGCGGGUACAUGAAGUUCUUGAAUCUAUUCAGGAACGAGAGAAGACGUUAGCUAAGAAUGAAAAAGUGUUCGCCAGGGACACUCAAGUGCUUCAGGAAGUUCGGCAAGAACUUAUAAAGCAAAUGGUGUUAGAAAAGGCAACCAAAACUAGGUUUGUUGGAGUAUAGAGUACGAGAGGAGAUUGAGCGCUCUGGAAUUUUAAGAUGAAGAGGAGAGCCACGCUGAAAAUAGUGAUUAGUUUUCAAUUGAACCGUACAGAUUACAAACAAACUUCUACAUGAGCCUUGUGCAAGCAUUCCUGUAAUCAGGUUAAGGAGUUUCAGCUAGACAGUAAGAAUGUGGUAAUGUGAUGUCUAUCUGUUUUUUAAGGUUUUUUGGGGACACUAGGGGAAGGAUGCUAACAUAAUUUAAGAUUGUAAAUGUGUGUGAAAGAAUUAGGUGAUGUGAUAAUGAUACAUAUGGAAGGAUAGCAUAGAUAUGUUAACGCUCAUGAUUUGAAACUGAAUUUCAAACUUGUAAAUGUUUUGAAUUUGAAAUGUAAAACUGCAUGAAUUAGCCUUUUUUCAGAAAUUGCUUCAUCUUGUCCUGCGUUGGGGUGUGCUUAUUCAGUUGUUAUUUGUUACCUGUGGCAAAUGGUAUAAUUAUACUUCUGUUUUAUUAUCAUCUAGAAGCCUCGUGUCUGUUUAAUUUCCUUAAAUUUGUGAACAGGACAGGGAACCCAUCUGCUAGAUAGUUACAAAUGCUCGUCCUAUUCUGAUCAAUCUAAUUAUACACAUUGAUUCAGAAUUUCUCUUGUUUCAUUUGGAUUAAGGACAUUGCAGCAGCCAAAUCAUCCAGAUGAAGUUACGUUUGGCGAAGAACUGAGGGUAGGAAGAAAGGCUAUGACAAAAAUAAAAGUGACUCCUGCUGGGUUCCCCUAUCAGUAUUACCAGCAGGAAAUGAUCGAUGUAGAGGAUAAAUUAUUGAAAGGCUUAAAGAAUGAAUGAGUUUGCAGUUGUUAAUGACUUGUUUGUGGAGAUCAAUGAGUACAACCCAAGCUGUAGAAAUCCCGAUCUAUAUAACUUUGGAACUUUAGGGAGAACGCGAGAGCUACCGUGAUGGUAUUACUCAUUGUAUGAUGCAAGAGAGAAGUAAAGACUCAAUGAAUAAUUUGUUCUUAGUCAUGCGGCAGUGACUAUGAGAUUCUAUAUCGCGAUUCAGGUGUAUAUGUAAGUCAUGGUUUAACUUAUUGAAAGAACCUAUGUUUGUUAAGUUGGUGGAACUGGAGCUAUUGUACUACAAAUUGAAAAACGAAAUGAAGCAGGGCCAUUACUCAUCAAGUCGUUGGGUGAUGACACCACAACCUAAAUUCGAAACCAGUCAGCAUUUUACUAGAGCAAUGAGAAAAGAAGAUGAGGGGUUGUUCAUGGGUGUAUACAGCAGCCAGAGGUGGUGACAGUUUUCAAGGGAGGUGGAUUAAGUUGUUUGUGGUGUACAAGUCAGCCAGGUUGUAUGGAGUUGGUAGUGGUCGUGGUGGUGGUUAUGGACGUUAUGGUAGUCACCUUACCUAGUAAUACUAGUGGCUUUUGAGUCUUGACCAGCUUUUCGAACUUUUCUGAUUUAGGUUGUUUGCUUGGGCAGGGUUUUGUAGCCUUAGUAUGCGAAUCUGGGCCUUUGGUUUUGGUCUCUUGGUGUAGAAUGUUUUUACUUGCAUGUUUUUACUUUCUUGGUGGUAUUGUUGUACCGGCA